rnacentral:rRNA from 1 species
AUUAGUGGCGAACGGGUGAGUAACACGUGAGGAACUUGCCCAUGAGCGGGGGACAACAUUCGGAAACGGAUGCUAGUACCCCAUAGGUGGAUUGGUCGCAUGACGAAUUCAUUAAAGGUGGCUUCGCUACCACUCAUGGAUAGCCUCGCGGCGUAUUAGCUAGUUGGUAAGGUAAUGGCUUACCAAGGCAGUGAUACGUAGCCGACUUGAGAGGGUGAUCGGCCACACUGGGACUGAGACACGGCCCAGACUCCUACGGGAGGCAGCAGUAGGGAAUCUUCCACAAUGGGUGCAAACCUGAUGGAGCAAUGCCGCGUGAGUGAAGAAGGUCUUCGGAUCGUAAAGCUCUGUUGUUAGAGAAGAACACGUGCUAGGUAACUACUAGCGCCUUGACGGUAUCUAACCAGAAAGUCACGGCUAACUACGUGCCAGCAGCCGCGGUAAUACGUGGGUGACAAGCGUUGUCCGGAUUUAUUGGGCGUAAAGGGAGCGCAGGCGGUCUGUUUAGUCUAAUGUGAAAGCCCACGGCUUAACCGUGGAAUGGCAUUGGAAACUGACAGACUUGAAUGUAGAAGAGGAAAAUGGAAUUCCAAGUGUAGCGGUGGAAUGCGUAGAUAUUUGGAGGAACACCAGUGGCGAAGGCGAUUUUCUGGUCUAACAUUGACGCUGAGGCUCGAAAGCGUGGGGAGCGAACAGGAUUAGAUACCCUGGUAGUCCACGCCGUANACGAUGAGUGCUAAGUGUUGGGGGCUUUCCGGCCCUCGGUGCUGGAGCUAACGUAUUAAGCACUCCGCCUGGGGAUUACGACCGCAAGGUUGAAAC